AUUGAACGCUGGCGGCAUGCCUUACACAUGCAAGUCGAGCGCGAAAGGGGGGCAACCCCGAGUAGAGCGGCGGACGGGUGAGUAACGCAUCGGAACGUGCCCAGUAGUGGGGGACAACCUCGAGAAAUCGAGGCUAAUACCGCAUACGACCCACGGGUGAAAGCGGGGACGCAAGGCCUCGCGCUAUUGGAGCGGCCGAUGUCCGAUUAGCUAGUUGGCGGGGUAAGAGCCCACCAAGGCGACGAUCGGUAGCUGGUCUGAGAGGACGACCAGCCACACUGGGACUGAGACACGGCCCAGACUCCUACGGGAGGCAGCAGUGGGGAAUUUUGGAC
rnacentral:rRNA from 1 species